rnacentral:rRNA from 1 species
UACCUUUCAGUGGGGGAUAACGUAGCGAAAGUUACGCUAAUACCGCAUAUUCUGUGAGCAGGAAAGCAGGGGAUCGCAAGACCUUGCGCUGAUUGAGCGGCCGAUAUCAGAUUAGCUAGUUGGUGAGGUAAAGGCUCACCAAGGCGACGAUCUGUAGCGGGUCUGAGAGGAUGAUCCGCCACACUGGAACUGAGACACGGUCCAGACUCCUACGGGAGGCAGCAGUGGGGAAUUUUGGACAAUGGGGGCAACCCUGAUCCAGCCAUGCCGCGUGAGUGAAGAAGGCCUUCGGGUUGUAAAGCUCUUUCGGCCGGGAAGAAAUCGCAUGGGUUAAUACCCUGUGCGGAUGACGGUACCGGCAUAAGAAGCACCGGCUAACUACGUGCCAGCAGCCGCGGUAAUACGUAGGGUGCGAGCGUUAAUCGGAAUUACUGGGCGUAAAGCGUGCGCAGGCGGUUUUGUAAGACAGGCGUGAAAUCCCCGGGCUCAACCUGGGAACUGCGCUUGUGACUGUAAGGCUAGAGUAUGGCAGAGGGGGGUGGAAUUCCACGUGUAGCAGUGAAAUGCGUAGAGAUGUGGAGGAACACCAAUGGCGAAGGCAGCCCCCUGGGCCAAUACUGACGCUCAUGCACGAAAGCGUGGGUAGCAAACGGGAUUAGAUACCCUGGUAGUCCACGCCCUAAACGAUGUCAACUAGGUGUUGGGUGGGUAAAGCCAUUUAGUACCGGAGCUAACGCGUGAAGUUGACCGCCUGGGGAGUACGGCCGCAAGGUUAAAACUCAAAGGAAUUGACGGGGACCCGCACAAGCGGUGGAUGAUGUGGAUUAAUUCGAUGCAACGCGAAAAACCUUACCUACCCUUGACAUGUCCAGGAGCCUGAAGAGAUUUGGGUGUGCCCGAAAGGGAACUGGAACACAGGUGCUGCAUGGCUGUCGUCAGCUCGUGUCGUGAGAUGUUGGGUUAAGUCCCGCAACGAGCGCAACCCUUGUCGUUAAUUGCCAUCAUUUAGUUGGGCACUUUAACGAGACUGCCGGUGACAAACCGGAGGAAGGUGGGGAUGACGUCAAGUCCUCAUGGCCCUUAUGGGUAGGGCUUCACACGUCAUACAAUGGUCGGUACAAAGGGUUGCCAACCCGCGAGGGGGAGCCAAUCCCAGAAAGCCGAUCGUAGUCCGGAUUGCAGGCUGCAACUCGCCUGCAUGAAGUCGGAAUCGCUAGUAAUCGUGGAUCAGCAUGUCACGGUGAAUACGUUCCCGGGUCUUGUACACACCGCCCGUCACACCAUGGGAGCGGGUUCCGCCAGAAGUAGGUAGCCUAACCGCAAGGGGGGCGCUUACCACGGCGGGGUUCGUGACUGGGGUGAAGUCGUAACAAGGUA